rnacentral:rRNA from 1 species
AGUGAACGCUGGCGGUAGGCCUAACACAUGCAAGUCGAACGGCAGCACAGUAAGAGCUUGCUCUUACGGGUGGCGAGUGGCGGACGGGUGAGGAAUACAUCGGAAUCUACUUUUUCGUGGGUGAUAACGUAGGGAAACUUACGCUAAUACCUCAUACGACCUACGGGUGAAAGCAGGGGAUCUUCGGACCUUGCGCGAUUGAAUGAGCCGAUGUCGGAUUAGCUAGUUGGCGGGGUAAAGGCACACCAAGGCGACGAUCCGUAGCUGGUCUGAGAGGAUGAUCAGCCACACUGGAACUGAGACACGGUCCAGACUCCUACGGGAGGCAGCAGUGGGGAAUAUUGGACAAAGGGCGCAAGCCUGAUGCAGCAAUACCGCGUGAGUGAAGAAGGCCUUCGGGUUGUAAAGCCCUUUUGUUGGGAAAGAAAAGCAGCAGGCUAAUACCCCGCUGUUCUGACGGUACCCAAAGAAUAAGCACCGGCUAACUUCGUG